rfam:Serendipita vermifera MAFF 305830 unplaced genomic scaffold scaffold_217, whole genome shotgun sequence.
GGACAUUUGGUAGAGUGGUCUAAUACCUUUGUUUUGAAAGCAAAUACUCUUUAUCGGGUCAAGGGUUCGAAUCCCUUAGUGUCCU